GUGCCAGCAGCCGCGGUAAGACGUAGGGUCCAAGCGUUGUCCGGAUUUACUGGGCGUAAAGAGCGCGUAGGCGGCUUGUUAAGUGUGGUGUGAAAUCUCCAGGGCUCAACCCGGAAACUGCACCGCAUACUGGCUAGCUUGAGUGAUGCAGAGGUUUGUGGAAUUCCAGGUGUAACGGUGAAAUGUGUUGAUAUCAGGAGGAACACCCAUGGCGAAGGCAGCAAACUGGGCAUCAACUGACGCUGAGGCGCGAAAGCGUGGGUAGCAAACAGGAUUAGAUACCCCGGUAGUCC
rnacentral:rRNA from 1 species